GGUACAGGAUAUUGAUGUACCAUUGGUACAGAUGCGAUGGAAUUGUACGUGACGACGUUCUUAUCCUAUCUGUUCCCCUCCCCACCUUGCUCGCCGCCGCACAAAUCGACACCAUAGCCACCGCAAACCAUGCGCCAUAUCCGGCCACCGCAGUGCAGCUGCGUGCCAUCGCCUUCGUACAACAUCUCCCGCCCGACGACCAUUGCCUCCGCCGCGCGGCAAGAAGCCACACAGUUCCCGCGGCGGCCUCGCGGGGAGGAGCACGACAGGCCCUGGCGGCGGCCUCGUGUGCGGGGCAGGGCACCACGCCAAGGAGAGCGGUCUCGCCCUCCACGGGAUCCCGAUGCGGGGUGGAGUCGCGGUGGAGGUGCUGCUCGUGGGGGGAACGAUGGCCUGCCUCGCGCGAUUGCGGUGGUGAGGAUGUGGGAUGGCUGCGGCGGGCGGCUAUGGAAGCUGCCGAGUCGCGGCACCAGAGGCGGAGGGAGCGGCUAGUGAUGGGGGCGAGGGCUGGGUGCUCUCCUCGUCUCACGCGGUCGCCGAGGGAAGCCGGCGGCUACUUCUGUUUCCGUUGGCAGCCGCUCCCGCUUCUAAUCUGAGUGGAUCCUGCUCCCGCUCGCCCCUGGUCAACCUCCUGCAUCGGUGCACCCCUGUCGCCUCCGUCGACUCCACCCGUGGGUUGAGGAGAUGGCUGAAUCGGCCGCCGUGGCGUGCAAGCUGCGGCGGGGAGGUGUUCAUCUACUCUUUUUUGUCACUGGAAUAAGGCAAUGACGUUUUUGGGCUUCCCUCAUUUUUGGGCUGGUCCGCCGGAGGGGAAGAGCCAGAUCGUUGUCCCUGCUAGCGACAAGUUUAUCUGACGUGGGAUGGUUCGGGCUAGAGGGGUACUUCUACCGAACGAGUUCGUUCGUUCCAGCGACUCUCCCAGCACGAACGACUCGUUCGGGCUGGGGUGUCCCCAGGCCGAUCGUUCGGCAGUUAUCGAUGUUCAAGAUCAUGGCUAUGGAGAUUAGGAUCACCAGAGACGAGGAAUUGGAGUUCUUAUCGGAUCUAGUUGACAGAUUUCCCCUGCCGGAUCUGGCCGGCGGCGAGCUGCCGAUAGAGCACGGCAGAAGCUAGGCUAUAAUAUGUGGACCUGUGGACUCAAGCAUUGGCGAAGCAGGAGAUGCCAUGGCAGUAGUGGAAACAGAUUUGAACAACACUUGUCAGGGGGUUGCCCUGUCGGCGCCGGCGUCCGAGCAAUCUACAGGGAAGGACGACCCUGAAGCCCCUGGCUGGACGCGAAGAAUCCGUGUUGGGCGUGUGCCUGAUGAAUGGCCCCCAUGUGCUGCCAGGAUGAGUGCAUUGGAGCUAACAAUACGAAGCUAUGCAGAGAAAAAAACUGAAACUGUGAUAGUUCCUGCUAUGGGAGCCAGUUUCGAUACGCUGGGGAAGCUUAUGACUACUACAAUCUAUAUUCAUGGGAGGUUGGGUUCAGAGUGAGAUACGGCAAGAGCCAUCUAAAUGUUGAGAGAACAAAAUGCAUGCAGGAGAUAGUUUGCACACACAAAAUGCAUGCAGGAUACGGUAAAAGAAAUUGUUCCAGCAAUUGCACCCGCAAGCGGGAACGUUAGUGAUGCAGAAGGCAGUGCUAUCGGGGAUUUCAUAGGACUGAAACCACCUGAGUGGAAAAGGAAAGCCGCGCGACCAACAAAUAGCAGAGAUAAGCCUCUGUAUGAUGACCGAGGUGCAAAAAGCAAAAGGAUGAAGCAACGCACAGCUGCUGAAGAUGUCGAUAGGUGUGGCACGAGCAAACGCACUCACUUCUGCAGCAUAUGUCGAGAACCUGGUCACAAGAGCACAACUUGUCCGCGACGAGGAGGUCUUGCACCAAAGGAAAGGAACGAGGCUAAAUGCUCUAUAUGUGGUGUCGGUGGCCACAGGAGAAACACCUGCAACAAGCCAAAGGUUGUUCUAUAUGUUGCUGGGACAACUAAUGUGGACGCGAAUGCACUCACCAGUCUGAUUUGAGAUCGUCUGUUCAAUCUGUGUAAUAAACCUGUUCUUGAGGGCUCCGCAGCCGAUAAUUGAUAAA